CCACCCGCCUUGGCCUCCCAAAGUGCUGGGAUUACAGGCGUGAGCCACCGCGCCCAGCCUUAAGUUGUUUCUUAAAGGCAGUGGAUGAAACAACCCAAUGUCUGUGAACGGAAGACGGAUAAACAACAUGUGGCAUUUCCAUACAAUGGGAUAUUAUUCAGCCGUAAGAGGAGCAAAGCACCCAUCCAGGCCACGAUGUGGAUGAGCCUUGAAAACACUGGGCUAAGAAGCUAGUGGUAAAAGGCGACACACUGUGUGAUUCCACUUCUAUGAGACGCCCAGAAUAGGCAAAUCUAUAGAGACAAAAAGCAGAGCAGUGGUUCCAGGGCCUGGGGGGGUAAGGAGAAACGGGGGCUGAUGGCAGAUGGGUCCAGGGGUGUUUUUGGGGUGAUGAAAAUCCUACAAUUGGCUGUGGUGCAUGGCUUUGCAACCCUGAGAAUAUAGGGAAACCACUGAAUUAUACAGUGAGACAGAGUCUCACUCUAUUGCCCAGGCUGGAGUGCCGUGGGCAAAGGCCUCUGUAUAGUGUGAACUAUACCCCCAGUAUAAUAACUUGUGUAUUAUACAACUCUCACAAAGAGAAAGCAGGCAGAUGCUCUCCGACGCCUUCAGUCAACCAAGCUUUGCCCCCAACAUCUCUGGACUCACCUUGCCUGCUCCUCCACAUACUGGUGACACUGCCCCCACCAGACAGCUCUUGUAAUAUCUGAUCCCAACUUCUGGGUGGGGGCACCUGUGGGGCUGACUCUGACUCAGGAACCCCCAGGAGAAGGGCCAGGCACAACCUCACCAUGUCUUGGGACUCACCUCCCGGCGAGGGCACGGGCCUCUGUGGCCAGGUGGCUCCAUUUGGUGGGUUGGCCGGGACCAUCCUGGGGAAUCUCCUGUAGAAAGAAGAGGAAGAGAGGAGGAAACUGACUUCCCGUCCCCGAAGGGCAAGGGCCACAUCUGGCCCAAUUGUGAGGCAGAACUGGAUAGCACCAGUCGUUCUAUAAAUGCACAAAGCUGGCCACGACAUCGGUAUCCAGUGAGCGGAGUCCGAGGAUGCAGAAACACCAAUAAGGAUGCUGCCCACCACCUACUGUGCAUUCAGUCUACUCGGAACAUGCCUCGCCCUUUGCAAAUGUCCUCUCGCUGAAUCCGCGGAGGAGGAUGCCACACGGAGAAAGCACGCUAUGGACACUGGCUGAAUGUGCUAUGAACGUCCCCUAGCCCCGUCUUUUCAUCAGACAAACAAUAAUUGCAUUUACAGAGCACUUCCUUGGAGCCAGUCUCAGCACGAAUGCCUGCCACGCCCCAGCCUGAUUCCCCCUGUCACCGCUCUAAGUGGCCGGCACAGGUCCCAGGCCCUGUCCGCCAUUCCCAAGUCCAAAAUGUUCUGAAAAGCCACAAGGCGUUCCAUUCCUCACUCGACAGCGAAACCUGAACUGAAAUAAACCUGUUCUGAAAAAG